GGCGUGUGUUCUCACCCAUAAAUCUGUCUUUAAUGAAACCUUUUUGUGUGUCACUUAUGAUAAAUGGUAAAACGGGUUUAAGUCUAUUAGCUAUAACAGCAGAAGCUAUUUUCAUAUCAGUAUUCAAAAGACUAAUAGGACGCCAGUUACUAAUAUACUGUCUGUCUUUUCCCUCUUUAGGAAUGCAAGUUAUUAUACUUUGAUACUGAAAAUCAGAAAAUUUACCCCCCGCAUAUCCAAAGUGAAGAGAUCGAAAGACAAAAGGGCCAAUAUCUUUCCAAAAAAAUUUAUAAAAAUCUACAGAAUACCCAUCAGAACCAGG
rnacentral:lncRNA from 1 species